rnacentral:rRNA from 1 species
GAAGAAGCUUGCUUCUUUGCUGACGAGUGGCGGACGGGUGAGUAAUGUCUGGGAAACUGCCUGAUGGAGGGGGAUAACUACUGGAAACGGUAGCUAAUACCGCAUAACGUCGCAAGACCAAAGAGGGGGACCUUCGGGCCUCUUGCCAUCGGAUGUGCCCAGAUGGGAUUAGCUAGUAGGUGGGGUAACGGCUCACCUAGGCGACGAUCCCUAGCUGGUCUGAGAGGAUGACCAGCCACACUGGAACUGAGACACGGUCCAGACUCCUACGGGAGGCAGCAGUGGGGAAUAUUGCACAAUGGGCGCAAGCCUGAUGCAGCCAUGCCGCGUGUAUGAAGAAGGCCUUCGGGUUGUAAAGUACUUUCAGCGG